rnacentral:rRNA from 1 species
AAGGCAUCCACUUGGACGCCUCCCUAGUAAUGUGUUAUUUUAUGCUUCCGGCAAGCGCCGACGACUAUUUAUUACCCUUGUCUUUUGCGCACUUGUUGUUUCCUGGGCGGGUUCGCUCGCCACCAGGACCACAAUAUAAACCUUUUUUAUGCAGUUGCAAUCAGCGUCAGUAUAACAAAUGUAAAUCAUUUACAACUUUCAACAACGGAUCUCUUGGUUCUGGCAUCGAUGAAGAACGCAGCGAAAUGCGAUACGUAGUGUGAAUUGCAGAAUUCAGUGAAUCAUCGAAUCUUUGAACGCACAUUGCGCCCUUUGGUAUUCCAAAGGGCAUGCCUGUUCGAGCGUCAUUUGUACCCUCAAGCUUUGCUUGGUGUUGGGCGUUUUUGUCUUUGGCCCGCCAAAGACUCGCCUUAAAAUGAUUGGCAGCCGGCCUACUGGUUUCGCAGCGCAGCACAUUUUUGCGCUUGCAAUCAGCAAAAGAGGACGGCAAUCCAUCAAGACUCCUUCUCACGUUUGACCUCGGAUCAGGUAGGGAUACCCGCUGAACUUAAGCAUAUCAAUAAGCGGAGGAA